rnacentral:lncRNA from 1 species
GUGUCCCUUCAUACAGAGUGGUGUCUUUCACAGAGAUGGUGUCCCUUCACACAGAGUGGUGUCCCUUCACACGAGUGGUGUCCCUUCACACAGAGUGGUGUCCCUCACCCUGAUGCCCUUCCUACAGAGUGGUGUCCCUCACCCGAUGCCAAUCCUACAGAGUGGUGUCCCUCACCCUGAUGCCCAUCCUACAGAGUGGUGUCCCUUCCCACAGAGUGGUGUCCCUCACCUUGAUGCCCUUCCUAAGAGUGGUGUCCCUUCACACAGAGUGGUGUCCCUUCAUACAGAGUGGUGUCCCUUCACACAGAGUGGUGUCCCUUCACACAGAGUGGUGUCCCU